UACAGAGGCCUCGAGCGUUAGGCGGAAUCACUGGGCUUAAAGCGUGUGUAGGCGGACUUCUAAGUACCUUGUGAAAUCCCACGGCUCACCCGUGGAACUGCUCGGUAUACUGGUCGUCUUGAGCCUUCUAGGGGCGAGUGGAACAAAUGGUGGAGCGGUGAAAUGCGUAGAUAUCGUUUGGAACGCCAAUGGUGAAAACAACUUGCUGGGGGGUGUGCUGACGCUGAGACACGAAAGCCAGGGGAGCGAACGGGG
rnacentral:rRNA from 1 species